rnacentral:rRNA from 1 species
GAUGAACGCUAGCGGCAGGCUUAACACAUGCAAGUAGAACGGUAACAGUCCUUCGGGAGCUGACGAGUUGCGAACGGGUGCGUAACGCGUAUGCAACCUACCCAUAACAGAGGGAUAGCCCAUAGAAAUGUGGAUUAAUACCUCAUAACAACUAAAGAUGGCAUCAUCUUAAGUUUAAAACUCCGGUGGUUAUGGAUGGGCAUGCGUGACAUUAGCUAGUUGGUGAGGUAACUGCUCACCAAGGCAACGAUGUCUAGGGGUUCUGAGAGGAUGAUCCCCCACACUGGUACUGAGACACGGACCAGACUCCUACGGGAGGCAGCAGUGAGGAAUAUUGCGCAAUGGAGGAAACUCUGACGCAGCCAUGCCGCGUGCAGGAAGACUGCCCUAUGGGUUGUAAACUGCUUUUAUAUAGGAAGAACUACAGAUACGUGUAUUUGUUUGACGGUACUAUACGAAUAAGGACCGGCUAACUCCGUGCCAGCAGCCGCGGUAAUACGGAGGGUCCAAGCGUUAUCCGGAUUUAUUGGGUUUAAAGGGUCCGUAGGCGGGUUAAUAAGUCAGUGGUGAAAUCCUACAGCUCAACUGUAGAACUGCCAUUGAAACUGUUAACCUUGAAUAUAAUUGAAGUAGGCGGAAUGUGUCAUGUAGCGGUGAAAUGCUUAGAUAUGCCACAGAACACCGAUUGCGAAG